CACACCCGUUCCCAUGCCGAACACGGAAGUUAAGCUCUUCAGCGCCGAUGGUAGUUGGGGGUCUCCCCCUGUGAGAGUAGGACGCCGCCAAGC
rnacentral:rRNA from 1 species